rnacentral:lncRNA from 1 species
CUGCUGUAGUGCCACUAACCAGCUGGUUGGGGGAGCUCCAUAGACAUGGUUCAGACCUUUCACUCAGUAAAGUUUUUGCUGUUUUUCCUCCUCUUGUCUUUCAGGGGAGCUCUGCAGAGCUUUUUGGGGAGAUGUUUCAGAACCUCCCACGCCUGAAUUCUGACUUCCUCAACACCUCCUGGCAAACAUCCAGAAAUAUCCCAACCCCUAAAACUCUCGCAAAGGACAUUAGCACGCCUUCAUCAACCCCUGAACCCCUAUCAGAAGUAACACCGAGCCCAGCACUCUCCCCCAGAUCCCUCUCCAAAUCCCCUCAGAGUCCACGGUUAUCCUCUAAACAGUCCUCGAGGCUAUCAAGUCCACAUUCUCAUUCAUCAAACAGUUUUCUUAGUAAAUCCUCAACCGCAGUUUCCUCUAAGUCUAAAUCCAAAGAGUUGCCUUCGCCCUUCCUCUCACCAAAAUCUAUAACAAAACCUAGCCCUUACAUCCCAGUUUCUCCUAAAAAGAAGGUGAAAAAAAGACUGCAUGGAGUGACAGCUGCUAAAAAGGUUUUAAUUGAAAACCAGUCAUCUCCUCUAUCACCUCAAGAACUCUGUAGCCCCACAAGACCCUCCAGUGAUAUUUCCAUUAAUCACCCCAGUGAGGAAGAGCUUCCUGCUUCACCACAAACAGAAGGAGAAACUGUCCCAGGAGGAAUUGUCAUAGAGGAUGUGGAGGAGAGUGUCUCUGAGAAAGGAGCUGACUCUGACUUUUUGCCAAACACGGGAAAGAAGGGCAGAGCUCUUAGAAGAUCUAUGAAAGAGGCGGAGGAGUUCGCUGAACAGCUCCAGUCUAACGGGAAAGCAGAACAAAAUUCCCACAAGGCCUUACCCACAGAGAUCCUGAAAGGCUCCAGCCCUGGAAGGAAAGAAGUGUCUCCAAUGAAGAGCUCAAAGAGUUUGAAAAAGCCCAAAGUCACAUCCACAGGCAAAGAGAAUAUUACCAACCAGUCAAAUAAGAUGACAAGACAAGCUCAAAAGGAACCCUCCCUUUUUCAAUCACCACGUGAUAAGAGCAACAAAAGUCCACAGACUGUCUGGAAGACACUGACUGAAGCACAGCAGAGGCUGACUAAAGUGAAGGAAAAUGCCAAAAGGAGUAAACAUUUAAAAGAAACUUAUUUAAACAAAGAGGAUGUGAGAGCCAGCACUUUAAAAAAAGACUUGAUAAGGACACCAAAAAAGGAGAGAAAUAAAUCACCAGCUUUCAACACAACUUCUCCUGUUAUCAUACUUAGUAAAGAAUAUGAAAUAACCAGCAUAUCCGACCCAAGAGGAAGUUCGACAUCCACAGAAAACGCUGCACAGGAAGACACAGAAACCAAUGACGUCAAACCUCUUGAAGUGGAAAUGCAACCGGAGACACGGCGAGUCAAAUCGACUCCGACAAAAGAUUUGGACAUGGUUAAAUCAGCACCGGGGAAAGGUAAAAGUAAAGCACUGCAUGCAAAAUCGCCACCUGUGAAGAAAGAAAGCACACCUGCUCUGGUUGAUACGAAGAAAUCCCCAAGUGUGAAAUCUACACCUGUGAAAGUUAAAGGGAAACUGCAAAAGGUGAAAAGUAAACGUGAAGAAAAUACUGAAGGUAAAGGAAAGGUUGUUGAAAAGGAGUUUUUGGCUCAAAACCUGAAAGGAAGAACCGCCGAUAAGAUGAAGACGCCGGACGUUGACAGCUCUAAACUUACGGACAAAAACAAGUCAAAAGAAAAUAAAGUGAAGGCAAGUACAAAGCCAAGGGGACAAGAAGGAGUUCAAGUUAAAGGAGAAGCUGUUGCGGACUCUAAAGAUGAUACCAGGGCCAAGCCGGCGAGUCAGCACACUGAAGCUUCCAGCCUGCUGUUAUCACAGCAGGAUACACCUACCGAAGUGGUGUGUAGUCCCAUUUCAUCACAAAGCCCUCAGAGAAGAGAGGCAAUUUCCGUCAGUGGUGCCAAGUCCCUGCAAGGCCCUGAACCUGCUGAUAGGAACCCACUUCUUUCUGGCAGAAACAGAGAGGAUACUCAGGAUACUGAAGAGAAACCCAGGUGGGGGGAAAUUCUCAGUACCGCAGCCUCCCUUCUCCCUGCUGUUGGGAUAGCUGGCGCGUCUAUGGGAGUCCUUAGUGAUGCAGUGACAAGCUUCAGGCGUGUCCAGUCUGACAGUGACACCGUUCCGUCAACACCCACUAAAAUGAAGCAAUUCACAAAGCAGAGUGCAAUCAUGCAACCUUCCUUUUCCUCAACACUGUCACAUUUUUCUUCAACAGAAGCGUCAAAUCCACCAGAAGCAGGAAAAGAUGUUGAGGCGAGUGUUGUAUCAGAGUCGGGAAACACACAAGAAGAAAGUAUAGAGAGCACUCAGGAUCAGUCCGAACAGAUUUGGAGUGAAGACGUUUCCCAAACAGAGAAGACAAAAAGUGUCUCAGACACAGACGAUGAGACAACAUACAAACCUUCAGCAGAGGAUGACGAGGGAGAGGAAACAGAUCCUGGAGGUGAAGAGGGAGAGAGUGGAAGCAGUGUGGUAGGGAAAGAGGAAGAGGAGGAGGAAGGUGGAAGUAGUGAUGACGUAGAAGAGAAAAUAGAGAGUGUUUCUGGAGAGGAUGAGGAAGAGCAGGAAAGUGCAGAGGAAGACAGUGAGGAGGAAACAGGCUCCAGUGAGAAGAGUGAUGUUACAGAGGCUGAGAAGGAGGAAGAAGAAAGCAGUGAGGAAUCAGGUAAAGGAGGAAGUUACUCUGAGGUGAGUGAACUUGCAGAGGAGGAGGAGGAGAAUGGGGGAAGUCUAGUGUCUAGUGACGAAGAGAAUAAAGAAGAUGAGGAAGAGAGUGAGGUGACUGAGGAUGAAGAAGAUGAAAGUGGUGAAGAAUCGGGGAGUGGUGGCAGCAGGAGCAACGAGUCGGAUGAAGAGGAGGAAAGAGAGGGAAGUGACACAGCAGAAGAAGAAGAAGAAGAAGAAGAAGAAGAAGAAACUGAGGAACAAAAAGAUUCCACUGAAAGUGAGAACAAGGAAAAAGACUCAGAAGAAGAUGAAGAAUCAGAUGAAAGCAAGGGAGAGGAAGAUGAGAAACAGGACAAAGAGAGUGGUGAAAAUGAUGAGGAAGAGGAAGACAGCAGGGCUAAUGAAGAGGAGGAAGAGCAAAGUGAAACGAGUGAUUUGGAUGAGGGGGAAGCUGAGGAUGAGACUGCAGAGGAGAAAGAAGAAGAAGAGGAUGAGGAAGAGGUUACAGAGGAUGAGGAAGAAGAGAGUGUAGAGGGUACAGAGGAGGAGGAGGGAGGAGUUGGGGAAGAGGCUGCAGAUGAAGAAGAAGGAGGUGAUGAUGAGGGAGAGGAGAGCAAGGAUGUUACAGAGGAGGAGGAGGAUGAGACUGCAGAGGAAGAAGAAGAAGGUGAUGAGGGAGAGGAGAGUAAGGAGGUUACAGAUGAGGAGGAAGAGGAGGAGGAUGAGACUGCAGAGGAAGAAGGAGACAAGGAGGGAGAAGAGAGUAAGGAGGUUACAGAUGAGGAGGAAGAGGAGGAGGAUGAGACUGCAGAGGAAGAAGAAGAGGGAGGUGAGGAGGGAGAAGAGAGUAAGGAGGUUACAGAGGAGGAGGAGGAGGAUGAGACUGCAGAGGAAGAAGAAGAAGGAGAUGAGGAAGGAGAAGAGAGUAAGGAUGUUACAGAGGAGGAGGAGGAGGAGGAGACUGCACAAGAAGAAGAAGAUGAGGAGGGAGAAGAGAGUAAGGAGGUUACAGAGGAGGAGGAGACUGCAGAGGAAGAAGAAGAAGGUGGUGGGGAGGGAGAAGAGAGUAAGGAGGUUACAGAAGAGGAGGAGGAGGAGGAGACUGCUGAGGAAGAAGAAGAAGAAAAUGAGGAGGGAGAAGAGAGUAAGGCGAUUACAGAGGAGGUAGAAGAUGAGGAAGAAGCAUCUUUAGAUGAGGGGGAAGUUGAGGACGAGAUUGCAGAGGAAGAAGAAAAACAUGACGAGGAAGAGGAUGAGAAAGGAGUUGAGGAAGAAACCGCAGAGGGUAAAGAAGAGGAGGAGGAGGAGUUAGCAGAGGAAGAAGGAGAAGAGGAAGAGGAAGAGAGUGAAGGUGAGGAGGAGGAAAAAAUAAAUAGAAAAGAGAAAAGUACUGAGGCCAAUAAAAAGGUGAUGAUAGAGAGCAGUGAUGCGGAGGAGGAGGAGGAGGAGGAGGAGGGGGAUGAGGACGAGGAUGAAGAGGAAGAGAGAAAACCCAUGAGUCGGAGAGAAGAAACAAAACAAAACAAACUGUAGGAAAGAAAGGUAAUGAUUCUGAGGAGGAUGAGGAAAGUGACGAAGAGGAAGAGGAGGGAGAUGAGGAGGAGAGUGAGGAUGAAGGAAAGGCUGCAGAUGUCAAAAAAAGUGAGAAGGAUAAAGAAGGAAACGUGGAGGAGGAAGGAGAUGAGGAGGAAGAAGAAGAAGAUGAGGAGGAAGAGGAAGAAGAAGAGGAGGAGGAAGAAAAGGGAGAGGAGCAGGAAGAAGAAGAGGAGGAGGAAGAAGAAGAGGAAGAGGAGGAAAAGGUCAAAUCAACAAAAACAAAAAAAAUGGACGGACAAGACAAACAACAGAAGGAGACUCCCAAACCAGCUCCGAGGACGAAGCAGAAGGUGGCAGGGGAGAAGUAACCAGACGACCCUCUGCAGCUCUGGAACGAUGUUCUGUCUCAGUAUGUCGACCUGCAGUGAGCUUAUCAAACAGUUUGUAACUGAGAGGACAGACGACUGCAGCUCCAACAGCAAUCAGCUGACAAAGUUUCAUGCAGAGAACCUGCUCACUGAGAGUCAGACUCAAGUGUCAAGCUAAAAGUUAUUAUCAACAAAUCCCAUUACAGUAAAAAGACCAAAAACCAACAAUGCAUUAGUCUGCAUCUCAAUAUUUAAUGACUUCCCCCCCCUGUGGCCCUCAGUCAGCCUCAAACCUGGUCAUUCCUACUAUAGACAGAAAACCAUCACAGAUAUACACCGUUCUUUUGAUUCACUGAUUCACUCAGCUGGGCUCUGUAGUUUUUCACAAACUUGACUCAAGCUAUAGAGAAAAUCGUGAAUUUGUUGAGACUUUUUUCAGUUGUGGAUUUAAGAAUCAUUGUGAAUUUGUUUGUAAAAAGGUUUCAAAAUCUUUAGGCAUUAUAAAAAGGGUAAAACAACAUUUGAAAAAAAGUACACUUCUAACCUUGUAUUACAGUUUAAUCUAUUCUCAUAUCUCAUACUGCAAUAUAAUUUGGGCCAGCACCUACUCUUCUUAUUUACAAGCAAUUCAUAGAUGUCAGAAAUCCUUUGUAAGAAUUGCCACCAACUCUUCUUAUCUAGCCCCAACAAAACCACUAUUUAAACAAUUACAACUUCUUACAAUUUAUGAGGUGAACAAGUACCAAACAGGGGUUCUUAUGUAUAAAGUAAUCUGCCUUCCUGCAUCUCUACCUAAUUUUUUUCCAAGCUAUUUUGAGUUUAACUCACAUUAUCAUACACAUUCUACAAGAAGAAAGAAUGAUUUACAUAUUCCUUUCUGUAGGACCUCUGUUGCUAAAUUCUCAUUUGUCUAUCAAGGUGCAGUGCUGUGGAAUGAUAUAAAACAUUUUUAGAAUCUAGUUUCUCUAUAAAUACAUUUAAAACCAAGUUCAAACAAUACCUACAGACCUAGUCACAUCUUUACAUCAUUGGGUUUUAAUUGAAAUGAAUCUGCAAUUUUAUGGAUAUUUUCUGUUUGUUGUUUAUUGUGUUUUUGUUUUUGUUUUUUUUUGUUGUUUGUUUGUUUUCCCCUUUUUUCUUUUUCUUUUCUUUUCUUUUUCUAUUGAUUGAUCUGUUUUAGUGAUUUUGUAUUGAGGGGGAGGAUCUUAUAUAAGCCCUUUGGGUUUCUUUUCCUCUCCUGCACAAUUAUUUGUCUUUGUAUUAUUAAACAGAAUUUUUGUUUUAUCAUUGUGCAUAUAAAUAAAUAAAUAAAAAUAAAUUAAAACGUAUUUGGUGCACCGGAGAGUUUACAGCAGCAGAAUGGUGUAUGUGGGCAUGAUACAAAACCAUAGAUGUACAAUAGAACUAGAUACUGGAUGCAAAGAUGACGCCUAUUCAGUCCAGUAAGAACUGCUUUCCUGGCACAUACCAAAAAACAUUUACAUUGUGCUGAUGUCACAGAUUUUUAAAUAGUUUUUCUCGUAUAAAGGAAGGUUUUACAAAUAUAAAACCUCCCAUGGAUCAAAAGUGGAUAACAGAGUGAAUCAUAAUCUACCAUGUUCGCAAUUCAAGGUGUCCUGUCAAGCUUUACAGACUUCUCUCUGUUAUAAUGGUGCUUUAAUGGAAAAAUGCUUUGUGGGCUGCGGUGAAAUGUUUCGCUUCAGUACUGUGAGUAGCAACUGGGCAAGAUUGUAACACAGGCUGAGCAGUGAUGUCAUAUAUAGGUCUAUAAUACAUUCAUGCUCAAAAUCGACUACAGUGCCCAUGUUCAUCAUUUAUAGGAACCUGUCACUCAGUGCAACAGAGGCCCAUUUAUUUGUUUUUUUUAGGUGAGCACUCCACAGAUUUAACAUCGUACCAUAUGAUGGAGUCAGAAGAAGAUGGUUUUAAUAAGAAAGGAUCAAAAUUGAUGAACCAUAGACAUCAUCUUUUUUAUUCCACAUGUACUUCUACCUUGCCAGGUAGAAAAGCCAGGAUUGCCCACAAUGCAAUGCGGCACAGUCCGUUCACCCUGCUGCCACCUGGCAAAACAUACAGAAGUAUCUGCUGCCAUACAACCAGACUACAGAGCAGCUUCAUUUACACUUGGUUGUACAACCUUGUGUUGUAGAAUGAAACAUAUGAGCCUUGGACUACACCUCUGACAGAUGAGCCGGUGGUCUGGGCGUGUAAUGCUAGCAGAGGCUAAUCUAGCCUCGAGCUGUGAGCCUGAAGAAGAGAUGAGGGUAUGGUAAACUCGCUUCCUUCUAACUCCAAACCCCCACAUUUUUAUUUAUUUAUCUAUUUUCAUUUUUGAACAUGUAGUUUCCAGCUUUCACAUGUUUCCCUCUGGAGCUUCAAAAUGGCUUCAUACAACUGUGUUCACAUAUGCAGUAGUACUUCCCGAAACCUGUAAACAAACUUAAACUUGUGAAUUCAGCACUCAGUGGAGUGGUGCGGCUCAGAGGAAAUGAACUACAGUAUAUGAUGCUCUGGCUGAGCAGGCUUUAUUUUUAAGUCGGGGAAAUAUUGUUGGUUUUGGUCUUUUCAUUAGAUUUUCUGACAUUAUGAAAAACAUAGAUUAUCACCAGACCUGUCCUUUAAAAAUGUAUAUGAAGUUCAAAUAAAAAGCUGAAAAUACUGGUUAUGCUUGAUGCAAAUUGAAGAAUGUCCGUUUCACCAUUUGUUUGAUUUCUCCUUGAUUUUCUUCUUCAUGGGCUCAUAAGUAUAUAGAUAUUUGUAUUGCCGAGGGGCUCCUUGUUUCUGC